UGUGCCUACGGGGGGCAGCAGUGAGGAAUAUUGGUCAAUGGGCGGGAGCCUGAACCAGCCAAGUCGCGUGAGGGAAGACGGUCCUACGGAUUGUAAACCUCUUUUGCCGGGGAGCAACGGAGUCCUUGCGAGGGCCCGAUGAGUGUACCCGAAGAAAAAGCAUCGGCUAACUCCGUGCCAGCAGCCGCGGUAAUACGGAGGAUGCGAGCGUUAUCCGGAUUUAUUGGGUUUAAAGGGUGCGUAGGCGGUCCGGAAAGUCAGCGGUAAAAGCCCGGGGCUCAACCCCGGCGAGCCGUUGAAACUGU
rnacentral:rRNA from 1 species